UGUUCUCGGACCACAGAUGCCCCAAAGUUCUUUUCUCUCUACCUGUCCCCUGAGUAUGCAGCCUCUCUCCCCACUUGUAGUAACCUAUAGAAUGGGAAAAAAUAUUUGCAAACCAUAUAUCAGGUAAAAGUUUAAUAUCCAAAAGAUAUAAAGAACUCACUGAAACAGAGAGUAGAGUGAUGGCUACCAUGGGCUGAGGGUUGGGGAACCUGGAAGAUGUUUUUUAAGGGUGCAUUUUCUGUUCAGGCAACUCAGCAUACAUUUCCCCUACCUCUUGGAAAGAGAAGUUUGAUUUUCAUUCAAGUAUCUACCUUCACCAUAUGCAUUGGGAAAAACUGACCCUACUCCCAGCUCCAUGGACGAACCUUGACUGGCUUAAACCGCAGACCUGUUAGGUGUGCUCAGAGUGGCUGGGGACACUCCUGUCUAUAUCAUCCUGCAGUUGCAGUAAGAGGAGCAGGUGUCUUCCCUGGUGAGUUACUGGAGCUCCAUCCCUGUCAGCCAGAUCUCAGUUGUGGGUUCUUCUGGGAAUUCUGCAGCAUUCAAAGCAAAGGUCUGUGGGCCAAGAUCAGGCAGUGACAAUUCCUAGAAGAGAACAAAAAAACACCCCUAUCUUACACCACUCAUAAAAAUUAACUCAAAAUGGAUUCAAGACUUAAACAUAAGACCUGAUACUGAAAACUCCUAGAAGAAAAUGUAGGGAAGAAGCUCCUCGACAUUGGUCUUGGCAAUGAUAUGACGCCAAAGCACAGCAACAAAAGCAAAAAUCAACAAGUGGGACGCCAUCAAAUUAAAAAGCUUCUGCCCAGCAAAAGAGACAAUCAGCAAAAUGAGAAGGUAACCUAUAGAAUGGGAGAAAAUAUUGAGGAUGUGGAGAAAAGAGAACUCUUGUGCGCUGUUGGUGGGAAUGUAAAUUGGCCCAGUCACUAUGGAAAACAAGUAAGGAGGGUCCUCAAAACAUUAAAAAUAGAACCACCAUAUGAUCCACCAACCCCACUUCUGGGUAUAUAUCUAAAGGAAAUGAGUACAGGAUAUCGAAAAGAUAUCUGCACUCCCAUGUCACUGCAACAUUAUUCACAGUAGCCAAGAU
rnacentral:lncRNA from 1 species